UACGUAGGGACCGAGCGUUGUCCGGAUUCAUUGGGCGUAAAGAGCUCGUAGGCGGCUAUUCAAGUCGAACGUGAAAUCUCGGAGCUCAACUCCGAAACUGCGUUCGAUACUGGGUAGCUAGAGUCUGGUAGGGGGAUCUGGAAUUCCUGGUGUAGCGGUGGAAUGCGCAGAUAUCAGGAGGAACACCGGUGGCGAAGGCGGGAUCCUGGGCCAGUACUGACGCUGAGGAACGAAAGCGUGGGGAGCAAACAGG
rnacentral:rRNA from 1 species